rnacentral:rRNA from 1 species
CAAUAGCGUAUAUUAAAGUUGUUGCAGUUAGAACGCUCGUAGUCGGAUUUCGGGGCGGGCCGACCGGUCUGCCGAUGGGUACGCACUGGUCGGCGCGUCCUUCCUUCCGGAGACCGUGCCUACUCUUAACUGAGCGGGGGCGGGAGACGGAUCGUUUACUUUGAAAAAAUCAGAGUGUUUCAAGCAGGCAGCUCGCUCUUGCAUGGAUUAGCAUGGGAUAAUGAAAUAGGACUUUGGUGCUAUUUUGUUGGUUUCGAACACCGAAGUAAUGAUUAAAAGGGACAGUCAGGGGCACUCGUAUUCCGCCGAGAGAGGUGAAAUCCUCAGACCAGCGGAAGACGAACUACUGCGAAAGCAUUUGCCAGGGAUGUUUUCACUGA